GACGAACGCUGGCGGCGUGCUUAACACAUGCAAGUCGAACGGUAAGGCCCCAGCUUGCUGGGGUACACGAGUGGCGAACGGGUGAGUAACACGUGGGUGACCUGCCCCGCACUUCGGGAUAAGCCUGGGAAACUGGGUCUAAUACCGGCUAGGACCGCACGGUGAGGGUGGGGUGGCAGGUUUUUCGGUGUGGGAUGGGCCCGCGGCCUAUCAGCUUGUUGGUGGGGUAAUGGCCUACCAAGGCGGCGACGGGUAGCCGGCCUGAGAGGGUGGACGGCCACAUUGGGACUGAGACACGGCCCAGACUCCUACGGGAGGCAGCAGUGGGGAAUAUUGCACAAUGGGCGGUAGCCUGAUGCAGCGACGCCGCGUGGGGGAUGACGGCCUUCGGGUUGUAAACUCCUUUCACCAUCGACGAAGGUUUUCUGACGGUAGAUGGAGAAGAAGCACCGGCUAACUACGUG
rnacentral:rRNA from 1 species